rnacentral:lncRNA from 1 species
CCCAGUUCCUUUUGAGCCCUAACAGCUAAGACCCUGACCUAUGCUGAGCUUCAAAACUCUCCCACUCAAGUGCUCUUCAACUGGAUCCUUGGAACCCUCCCACAGCUGCCAGGCACUGGUCCACCACUAUAGAAAGAAGGCUGGGAGAUGUGGCAGCUGACCCAGGGACCCAGGGACACAUGGCUGGCCAUAUCCAGAGAGGCCACAGGGGUGCACUCUCCCCAGAUGACACCCAGUUAGACCCAUGUGCCAGCCUUCUCUUUCUUUAAGCCUAUAAACAACUCCUCACUCAUUUGUAACUAAAUGAUGAUUUCACUUUUCUCAUCGGAAGUUGCAUCUAUCAGUAGUAAAGGGUCUGCAUUCUGUAGUCAACGCAAAAAAAUAAAAAAAUAAAAAGUCCAAUGUCGAGCAUGGCUGGGUGGACUGGCACACACCUGUAAUCCUGUAAUUCCAGCAGCUCAGGAGGCUGAGGCAGGAGGAUCAGAAGUUCGAGACCAACCAGCCUUGACAAUUUAGUGAGACUCUAAGCAACUUAGUGAGACCCUGUCUCAAAAUUCAAAAUAAAAUAGGGCUGGGGAUGUGGGUCACUGGUUAAGUGUCCCUGGGUUCAAUCCCUAGUUCCAAAACAAAACAAUAGAAAACAAAAAACCCAGACAGAGUUAAGACAACCAAAGGAAGACAUGGAAUCAUGUUGUUUGCCUGGGGACCUCAGCAGACCCAGGAGCAAGCCUAUGACCUGGGCCAAGAGGGCAGAGAAGUACCUCUCCGUGCAAGUAUUGACAGACUAAACUGACGGUGACUCAACCCUGUGCAAGGUGGCUUUCUGAAAAAGGAAACAAAAUGAUUCACCGAAAGGCAUGACCCAGUGCGGGACGCUGCCAAGCGUCAGGUCAGGGAAAGUGAAAACAAGACACGUCCAAGCGGCUGCGCUCCAGGGCGGAGGGAUCCCCGGAAGCUAGGCGCUCCCACUGCACCCGGAGAGCAGGCACCGAAACCUAAAUGAGGCUGGAGGAGGGGUUCUACCGUCUGCAGCACAGCGGGGACGCUACAGGUCACAAUAACCUGUGGUCCAUUUCAGGACCACUUAGGAGAGGCUCCAAGACCGCAAACACAUGAGGAAAUGGAAAUGUUAACUAAGCGAUUGGACAGUGCGCCGUGUGCUGCUGAAACAUCACCCUGAACCACAUCCAGAUGUCAGAUUAACCUGGGCGCAGCGCCCGCCUGUAAUCCCAGCUACUCAGGAGGCUAAGGCGGGAGGACCAAAAGUUG